AACGGCAUGAGCCACAGAAGAAAUAUUUUCACAAGUGUCAAGCUGAAGAAGUGGAAGAACCUGUUCCCAGCUCCAGACUAAAAUAAGAUUGAAGAUGCUCUGCAGGUUCCCCCCUUGUGGAUAGUCCUGGAAAAAUCUGCCCUCUGUUGGAAACCUUAGAGUUCGGUUGCUACUGGCUCUUUGGAGAAUGUCCUGAGCUGUCAUACUCAAGGCUUCCUGUUUCCCCAACAAUUGAUUCUUGUUCUUACACCUGGAUGGUCCUGGACUUGACCAAUAUUGCAACAUUUAGUUACAGAAGAAAGAAAAAGUUAAGUCAUGCUGAAACCUGGAAAUUGGAAUCUAUAAGAAACACUUGUGUCUCCUGCUUGACAGUGAUUGGCAGUACUGCUGACAAAUGAUGAUUCCUAAAUAUGUCAUUUUAGAAGUCAUUGUGAUAUCCAAUG